ensembl:lncRNA
GUUAAAAGCACCCAGAUCACCUCCUGAGACAGGGGUGUUGUGUGUCUCCUGAGUGCCCUGAGGUCCGGCGCCUUCCCGGAGUUCUAAAAGGAGCAGAGCAGCUGUGCUUGGUGGGUGGGACGCGCGGCCGAGGGCCAGGACUGAGCCUUCCUGCUGCGGACUGUGUUGUGUGAGCAGGUCGGGGAUCAAGCAAGAGUCUGUUUCUUUGAAGAAUUCCCCCAGGAGCCGCGUGUCAUGCCAGUGUUCUCUAAGAGGACAGAAAAUGUCUUCUGUUGCCAGAUGGAAGGGAAAGACGAGGAAGGGUAUACUGGAAAGGAGCUUGACGAACGCGUGAUUUUUCGAGAAAGUUGCCUGUAGAACAGACACCCUGAAACACAGGGACUGAAAUCUUACUAAAGAUGCAUUUCAAGCUGCAUGUGUGUGGGAGAUGGACAAGCACGUUGAAAAACAUCUGUGCCUGUGUGAAGACCGCCAAAAUGACGACAGACAGACAGACCCGCUUCUGUGUCUCAGUCCUCUAUACCAGGAGACCCUAACCUGCUGCCCUCCAGCACACUCACCUGGAUCACAGCGUCUUCCGGAGCAGAUGCUCCACACGUGCCAGCUGAUUUUGUCACUUAGAUAUAUGACUCUCUGGGAAAUCCGUUUCAGCAAAGAAUGACAAGGGAGCUAAUCAACCAUGACAAGAACAAAAGGCCAGCAGCCAGGGGAAGGGGAAAUAAGGAGCCUGGAUCAUCUGCAAAUUGGACUGUAGGCUCACGAACUGAUGGUAUCCCAAUUCACAGGGGCGAGAUGGUCUCGCUGUCCUUCACCCUCCUUGUAACUCAUAACAAAGACCUCCUGCAUGAGGUCCCUCCCCUCCAUGGAACCCACCCACCAGGGCAGAAGUGCAGAAAGUGUGGGGUGGGAGGGGAGGAAGGAACGGCAUGCAAAUCCCCACAGGUGCAGGAUGUAAAACGGAAGUGGCCCCCGGGGAGGCGAUGGGGCAGCUGUACCCACUUUGCAUAUACUCAUCGCAGGCUAAAGUUAGGUUCUGGCUCACACCACGUGGAGGGGCCACAUUCACCUACUCCCCACCACUGAGCAGGGGGCUUGUCUGGGCUUUGCUUAGGACGGGGUCUGGUUUGCCCUUUCAGAGUCAUAGAUUGGGCACCUGGUCAUCGUUGUUUGGGGUAAGGUCAGGGAAAAAUCACAACUGCUCCUUCCCUCCCCACAACCAAGUCUGAACAUCACAGAUUUAAAAUCUGCCUGAAACGGACCUGAAGGAUUGUCAUGUCUUGCCCAGUCAUCUUGAUGCUGUUAAGCCCAUCUCCUUCUUUGCUCCACCCCAUCUAAAACAUCACCAGAUCCCAUAAAAGAGGCCCCAACCUGGUAUUGCUCAUGGACCUCACCAGAACCGUUUCCACCAACCGGUCUCCUACAACAUUACUUGCUGCGCUCGGCACCCAUCCAACCCCUGACCCCACAAUGGGCCUUCGUUUUUGUGGUCUGGCCUCAGCCCUUACACCCAACGCUCAGCUUCUCUGGCCUCCAGUUUUGCUUUCUUCCUCAGCCAUGGUUUGCAUUCCUAUUGAAGCGAGCUGCCUUGAGCCACGCAGGCCCUGAGGUGUGCAGGACCCAGGCAGGUGGAGAAGGAUAGCCGCCCCAAAGACCAAAGCGGGAGGAUGGGUGACAGCCGAAGAGCCCAUGUGGAGAGGAGAUCUGUGGGCUGCAAGUGCCAAGUGGAGAUGCCUGCGCCCCUCAGGCUUGUUAGUGCCCCCCACCAGCUCCAGCCUCCUCUCAGCUGUGGGAUCUGAGCAGAACACUAAAGUCCAGGCCAGGGAACUAGGGCCCUAUUUGCCAGAUGCCAGGGGCACCUGUAUUGUGCUAAAGGCAUGGUGCCCCAUUGUGUCUUUGAAAGACUGCACAUUACACAGAGGAUUUAUUUAUUUUUUAGAAAGGG